rnacentral:rRNA from 1 species
UACGUAGGCAGCAAACGUUGUUCGGAAUUACUGGGCGUAAAGAGUGUGUAGGCGGUUCUGCAAGUUUGGUGUGAAAUCUCCCGGCUUAACUGGGAGGGUGCGCCGAAAACUGCAAAGCUAGAGUACUGGAGAGGAAAGCGGAAUUCCUGGUGUAGCGGUGAAAUGCGUAGAUAUCAGGAGGAACACCGAUGGCGAAGGCAGCUCGCUGGGACGGUACUGACGCUGAGGCGCGAAAGCGUGGGGAGCAAACAGG